rnacentral:rRNA from 1 species
GUGCCAGCAGCCGCGGUAAUACUUAGGUGGCAAGCGUUAUCCGGAUUUACUGGGCGUAAAGAGUGCGUAGGCGGUUCUUCAAGUCGGAUGUGAAAUCUUCCGGCUUAACCGGGAGGGGUCAUUCGAAACUGAUGGACUAGAGGACAGCAGGGGGAGGUGGAAUUCCCGGUGUAGUGGUGAAAUGCGUAGAUAUCGGGAGGAACACCAGUGGCGAAGGCGGCCUCCUGGGCUGUUUCUGACGCUGAGGCUCGAAAGUGUGGGGAGCGAACAGGAUUAGAUACCCUGGUAGUCCACACUGUAAACAAUGGACACUAGGUAUGGGGAGUAUCGACCCUUUCUGUGCCGAAGCUAACGCUUUAAGUGUCCCGCCUGGGGACUACGGCCGCAAGGCUAAAACUCAAAUGAAUUGGCGGGG